CUUAGAUAUAUACCACAUCGAAUUUGGCACAUUGCAUCGCAUCGCUUUGCAAGAUUGCCAGAUUGGUUUAUUAUAUUCAUUAUAAUAGUAAUCAGAAUUUAGUUUUAUAUGAUUGAGAAAACAUAUUCGGCCUGAUUCUACGCGGCGUGUGAGGUGAGAUGACAAUUGUCACAUCACCAUCACGCAACUCUCCUCACUCUAUUCCUACAGUCGUUUCGGAUGCCGUGAGAGGUUCAUUUGAUGUAUGUGAGAGGAUGAACAGCAAGUGACAAGGCGUUCAUUCUGCUGGUUGCCAAAUCUGAUCAGAGAUGCCACAUUCGCACAUGUGUUUGCGAAUUUGCAGACAUUUAACUUUUAUCACAACCUUUUAUUCCUGCUGCAGGCUAUUUAAAAUAGUGACAAAACAUUAUUGAUUCCAUAUUGAUAAACGAAGCUGGUCAGUAUGUCAGACAUUAGCACAUAUUUACAAAUAUUUCAGAUUUUUAUCGCAUAUAUUUGAGAAAAAACAUCUGGCAUCCCAGAAUUUUAUUUGUUUCGCUCAGAGAGGUCAGAUAUUUGUUUUGCUGCAGUCAGUACCGUAUCUAUAGAUCUGAUUUAACCUGGCCUGUUGUUAGUGUAUCAGGACAUUCUGCCGAAUUUGCAGCAUUUUUGUUUGUUUUGGUCGUAGUUGCUGCUGCUCUCUGCACUCUCAGUGUUAAAUUGUUGCUCUGGCUCCGGCUCGGGCAUAUACCACGGCUUCUGGAAUGGAUAUGCAGUUCGGUGACGAUGACUCGCGGAUAGAUAGAUGAAACACAAGAUCCAUGUGAUAGAUAUAUUUUAGAGAAAAUAAAUAGAUUUCAUGAAAUGAAAAUAAUUUCGGUGUGCUUAUUCGUCCAAUUGAGGAAUAACAGACUCACUACCGCUUUCACAAAAAAAACAAACUACUUGCAAUUUGUCUUUCGUACUGUGAAAAUUGAAGAUAAAUUGAAUUUAUUGAUACAUAUAAUACCAUUACUAUCGAUUCUAUACGACCCAAAAAAACACUUAUUAUUCCUCUUCCUUUUUUCAUUUGUUUUCAUGCACUGUCGACACCUCAAGACAUGUCGACGAUUGUCACCUAGAAAUCCCAGUUCAUGUGACAAUCGUCACGUAUAUUUGAGAGCGGGAAUAAAGUGAGAGUUCAUUCAAGUGAGAUUUCUCACGGCAUACGCCUGGUGGAAUCGCGUGACAUAAGUGACAAUUGUCAUCUCACCUCACACGCCACGCAGAAUAAGGCCGAUUGCACAGUGGAAAUGUUCAAUGAUAUUAUAUAUAUUUGGUUUCUAUGAUGGGGAAAUCAAAGAUCCUUUUCUUAAAUAAUAAAAUCGGCAACCAGCAAUGACUCUAUCUACUGCAUAGAAUGUAUUAGAUAGCCGCGCGAGAUAGCUGGUGGAUGAUAAUCCAGACGACCGGAGUUCGAACCCAAAUCGGAGCAGUUUUAACCAAACAUCAAUCUGUGCCAUUUUAAACAUUUAUAUUCCAUUCCCAACAUAAGUAAAUUAAAUAAUUAUUAUUUCUACAAAUAUAAAUACUCAUAUAUAAAAAUGGCGAUUUGUGAGGCUAAUGUGAUAUGAUUUAUUCAGGCAAUGCUUUGAUCGUGGUACCGCCUGGUUCAUAACGGCAAUCAACCGUGCCGGCGAAACUGUAGUCAAUGUUUAGUGUUGCUUGGAUACAAUUUAUGUAAAUAAAUUCAAAUAUACGGGAUAUGUCCGAACGGCAAUUCUGACAUUACGUUUUACCUUCCACUUCACUUUCC